GCAAAGAUUAUUAUCAGAUAUGAUUCUUGUUACAUAAAUGAGUAUUCAAUGUUUAUAUAUAUAUAUAUAUAUAUAUAUACUUUUGAGAAUAAUCUUUUGGUUUUAUUAAUGGGAUAAUGACCAGGCAACAAAAUAAAAUACAAAGAGAAACAAAGGAAAGACACAAGGCAAACUCUAAGCCAAAAAAGUAAAGAAAAAUUGAAGAGCCAACAGAAACAACUUAGAAAAAUCCUAAAUUCCAAAAUCAACACAGCUUGAAACCUUAAAAUUAGCAGAAAAUAAAUAGCCAUAUCCUUGUGAACCGACCAAAACGAUGAAUCUCCUCAUAAAACACACCGAAAGGAUUGAGACAGGGAGAGAGAUUGAGGGAACCCUUUUCCCAAAUCAUGAAACCCCCAAUCCCAUAAUCCAACAGAGCAAACUAACUCACGUUGGGUCAAUCCAACACCGAUCCUUCGUUGCAACUUCCCCAACCUUUGAAGGGGCAUCUUUCACCCAGAAUCGAUUAGUUGAAUCUCUCCUACCCAGCACCGUUAUUGCAUGCACGACAGAGUUACAUCUUCGAAGCUCGAAUUUGAAACAACAGAACUCAAAAUUUCUCGAAAAAGCUUUUACAUCCCAAGUAAUUUGGCCGAAGAGUUAAGUAAUCUUCAUAAUUUGUUUGCAAUUUUAGUAUUAUAGUUUUUGAAUCACUCUCCUGGAUGACUCGUUGGAAUCUCACUUCUUGAACAAACUGUAAACCAUGUAGAGCCUUCGCCAUACCAAUUGUAGAAGCCAAUAAUCAGUAUCCACAUUAAUCUUGACCACAAUGGCGGUGGGCGGGACCAAUGGACUACUGCAACAGGAAGAGGGUGUGUCAACACAAAGCUCAGUAUCUGAUAUUCACUUCCAUAGCUGCGAAUAAAGGUAACAACUUCGUUUAUACUCUGCAAAGUUCCUACAUGUAGAGAUUUGUUCCGCGCAUACCAUAGCAUCCAAACUGUAAUAGCAACAAUUUCUUUAUUAUCUAUGGUUGAAUGUUAAAAAAUCUAGCAUAACCAACCAGAAAACCUACCUCGGCCACUACUUCAGGCCAUUGGAAAUCCAACUUUCCUCGAACCUGCUUUCUAAAA